rnacentral:lncRNA from 1 species
GCGCAGAGUAGGGAGAGUGAGGUGAUGUGUGGGUGCACAGAGUAGAGAGAGUAAGGUGAUGUGUGGGUGCACAGAGUAUAGGGAGAGUGAGGUGAUGUGGGGUGGGUGCGCAGAGUAGGGAGAGUGAGGUGAUGUGGGUGGGUGCGCAGAGUAGGGAGAGUAAGGUGAUGUGUGGGUGCAGAGUCUAGGGAGAGUGAGGUGAUGUAGGUGGGUGCGCAGAAGGCAGUUGGUAGAGAAAAAGUUCAAAAUGCACACACUGUUCAGGAUGGCCAUCUCAUGGGUCAGGAGGCCCAGGGCUUCUCAUUUGUAUGAUUUUCUUAGUAUUUUAAACUGAUUAUCUUGGAACAGAAGCUGACUGGCUAGAGUAAAACUACAUGCCCCAUAAAAUAGCUCACUGAAACAGACCUUGUUUUCCUACUAAAAAGACAUGCCAACACUGGCUGCAGCAGCACAUGCCUUUGACCCGAGCACUUGGAGGAAGAAGCAGGCAGGUGGAUCUCAUGAAUUCAAGGCUAGCCUGGUCUAUAGAGCAAGUUCUACACCAGCCAGGCUACACAAUAUGACCUCUCUCAAAAAGAAAAAAAGAAGAAAAGAAAGAAAUGUACAUGUGGAUGGUUAAGAUAGACAUCACUUUGCUUUUAAUUGUCUGAGGAUUUAUUGAAAUUGUCUAUAAGAUAUAGUGUAGUUAACUUUUAAUAAGUAAACUUGAGUAGCUCAGGGUUACGUAAAGUGCUUGUUGAGCACGAUCGUGAUGCCUUGGUGUUCAUCUCCAGAACCCACCUGAAGGUGGAAGGAGAGAAGACUCCAAAGUGCUCCUCUGACCUCUGUUGUGUGUGU